UUGAACGCUGGCGGCAGGCCUAACACAUGCAAGUCGAGCGGAUGAAGGGAGCUUGCUCCUGGAUUCAGCGGCGGACGGGUGAGUAAUGCCUAGGAAUCUGCCUGGUAGUGGGGGAUAACGUCCGGAAACGGGCGCUAAUACCGCAUACGUCCUGAGGGAGAAAGUGGGGGAUCUUCGGACCUCACGCUAUCAGAUGAGCCUAGGUCGGAUUAGCUAGUUGGUGGGGUAAAGGCCUACCAAGGCGACGAUCCGUAACUGGUCUGAGAGGAUGAUCAGUCACACUGGAACUGAGACACGGUCCAGACUCCUACGGGAGGCAGCAGUGGGGAAUAUUGGACAAUGGGCGAAAGCCUGAUCCAGCCAUGCCGCGUGUGUGAAGAAGGUCUUCGGAUUGUAAAGCACUUUAAGUUGGGAGGAAGGGCAGUAAGUUGAUACCUUGCUGUUUUGACGUUACCAACAGAAUAAGCACCGGCUAACUUCGUG
rnacentral:rRNA from 1 species